CCUACGGGAGGCAGCAGUGGGGAAUAUUGCACAAUGGGGGAAACCCUGAUGCAGCGACGCCGCGUGAGCGAAGACGGAUUUCGGUAUGUAAAGCUCUAUCAGCUGGGAAGAAAAUGACGGCACUUGAGUAAUAAGCUCCGGCUAAAUACGUGCCAGCAGCCGCGGUAAUACGUAUGGAGCCAGCGUUAUCCGGAUUUACUGGGUGUAAAGGGAGCGUAGGCGGCUUGGUAAGUCUGAUGUGAAAUACCGAGGCUCAACCCCGGGACUGCAUUGGGAACUGGCUGGCUGGAGUGCCGGAGAGGCAGGCGGAAUUCCUAGUGUAGCGGUGAAAUGCGUAGAUAUUAGGAAGAACACCAGUGGCGAAGGCGGCCUGCUGGACGGUGACUGACGCUGAGGCUCGAAAGCGUGGGGAGCGAACAGGAUUAGAUACCCUAGUAGUC
rnacentral:rRNA from 1 species